rnacentral:Y_RNA from 1 species
GGCUGGUCUGAGUGCAUUGGUGUUGACAACUGAUCACACCCAGUUACAGAUUUCUUUGUUCCUUCUCCACUCCUACUGCUUCACUUGACUAGCCUUAA